CAAUAUACCCCUUAAAACUUCAAAAAUAUCUCAUUUAUCCUUACUUUUUUCCUUUUCGAUAUACCUCUCAUAUGUUGCUCCGUUAUUCUAAAAUACCCCUACAGUUAUCACCCGUUAAGUUAACUUAGGUUAAGCAUAAGUGAAAUAUCUACCAAAGUUAAAAAAGAUCAAAAUAUCUUUUUUGCCCUUCACUUAAGGGCAACUAAGAAAUAUUGGUGAUGGUAAAAUGAUAUAUUCGAAAAGAUUAAAAAUCAAAAUAUUUUGUGCCCUUAAUUUAAGAGCAAAUAAGAAAAGUCGGUGAUGGUAGUAGGAUAUAUUGGAAAGGAAAAAAUAGUAAUUUUAUAAAGAUAAUAGAUAUUACUAACAGUUCAUUAAUAAAAUUUUAGGAAUAUUUUUGAAAUUAAUAGGUUGAAACGUAAAAAAGUAUUUUCAAUAUUAGCCUUCUAAGAGGGGUAAAUCAGAAAAUUGGAAACUUUUCAGGAGUAUAUAAGCAAUUGCCCCUAUAUAAAUCGUCAUUUUAAAUAUUUUAUUAUUAAAAAAAAAGAAGUAUGAUUUUUGGGAAGCAAGCAGUUAGUAUUAUAUCCAAUCAGCCAGAAGUGUAAGAUAAGUCUCGACUGAGCUAAGUAGAGCACGGCUCCUAGGUUGAUAAUCGUUAUAGGUAGAGCGCGGCUCUCCACAAAGUCGGUUAAGACUAACAAAAUAAGCCUCGUAUCUCCUUGGUGUUUGUAAGUAUGCUUGAGCGUGACGUGAAGGUUAAAGUGUAAAAGGGGAGGAAUGUAACAUCUCCAGUCCUAUAUAUGCGAUAUAAUAGGACAAAAUCUUUUAACUUGACUAUAACAUUUUGGCUAGUUAUUAGCGCCAAGAGAUUAAGAGGGUUAAGUGUAUUAUGAAAGUUUUCAAUAAUUAUUCAAUAAGUGACACUAUAAAAAUGAAAAUGUAUAUGGGGGUCAAAAAAUUAAUAAGUUAAUCAGUUUUUUUUUAGUUAUUUAAUUUUAUUCGGUUGGUUAAAUGCAAAGUAGUAGGGAUGCCAACAGGUUAGAUUCUGGGGGAGUUUUCAAAAUUUGAAUCCGAGCCUAACUACUAAAUCAGAAUCCGAAUACGACGAAUUUUAAAAAUCAAUAUCCAACCCCGAAUUCAACCAAAUAUCCGAAACCGUAAUCGGAACCGAACCUGAAAAACCUGAACCCAGAACAAUUAUUUCUUUUCACCAUAUUUCAAUAUUUAUUACAUUAAAUUUGAAUAUUAAAAUACAAUUAAAAAAAAACAUCACACAUAUAUAUAGAGAGAGAGAGAGAGAGAGAGGGUCCGACUAUUAUACUUUUAUGAAUUUAGACCUCUUUAUACUCAUAAAUUUUUGGCUGUCAGAUCUAUCCUCUCUUUGACCAUUUCCACCCGUGAGAUCAUACUAUUCAACUAACCACCUCCUCAACCCUAGGAGACCAUUAUCAUCCUAACUGGGGACUACCAUCAUCUUAACCGCACAUCCUUUCAUCCAACAGCCGAAAACUUAUAUGUAUAAAGGGGCAUAUAUUCAUAAGAUAUAAUAACCAUAACCUAUAUAUAGAGAGGGAGAGAGAGUAUAGAGAGAGAGAUGACCUGGAAUACUAAUUGUAUUUGGGCUCUUUUACUAUCAAUAUUCUAACCAUUAGAUCUAUACUUUAAUCACCCUUUAGAUCAUACUAUUCAACCAAUCACCUAUUCAACCUUAGGGAAACCACUACUAAACCCUAGGGGACCAUUAUCAUUCUAACCCUACAAUUUUUCAACUAAGAGUUAAAAACUUGAUAGCAAAAAAGUCCAAAUACUAUUAAUAGUAUUCUAACCAAAUUCUAUAUAUAUAGUUGAGCUAGAAUGAUAUCGGUAGCACAUUGCCAUCCAUUUGCUUUCGAUGAUAGAACCUCCAAAUUGACGAUCAAUACUGUUGAACAUGAUCUAUACCACUUGACGUGUUUAAAAAUCAAAUUUCAUACGUUUUCAAUAUUAUUCUCUUAUCCAUCGAUUGGACACAAAAAUGAACGACUGAAAAUAAAUAUUUUUUAAAAGGUGAUGAUAGGAGUCUUGUAAUCAAAUCAGGAAUAUAGAUUUUAUUUUAAUUGAUUUGGAUAUUUUUAUAUCGUUAAACCAAAAAAUGUCUCAUAUUUACUAUUAAAAUUAUAAAUUUUGAAACCUUUGAUUAUUAGGAAAAUUAUGUCGAAGAUUUGAAAUUUAGUUUCUAAAAGCUUUAAGUAGUAUAAAUCAUGUUCAAUUGAGCCGAUCGUCGAUUUGGAGGUUCAAUCAUUGAAAACAAAUAAAUGGCAACGGGGUCCGUUUACUACCGAUAGCAUUCUAGUUUUAACUCACUCUCUCUCUCUCUCUCUCUCUCUAUAUAUAUAUAUAUAUAUAUAUAUAUAUAUAUAAUGUAAAAUUAAUUUGGGUUCUAAGAUACUAUAAAUACAAUCCAUACAUGAAUCCAAAUUCUUCGAAUUUUUAUUUGGCUAAAUUACAUAAAACUUCCCUAUCAAAAUUUGAUUUUUCAUUUUUUUCCCUGUCAUUUAAAAACCUACACUUUACCUCCUUAUAAAAUGAAAAAUGUUCACAUGUGGUACGGUGUGAACUGUGGUGAUAAAUGACCAUAUUGCCCCUCACCAUUUUGUCUCUCAUGAUGUUCACAGGAGAAAAGACUGAGGAUAUUUUUGACAUAAAAAUAUAUAAUAAUAUUUUAUAAACGAAAUCGGAAAUCCUAACGGAUUACUAACGGCAGGGACGAAGUGAAUAUUUUUUAUUUUACAACAGGGUAAAGUGUAGAUUUUUAAAUGACAGGAAAAAAAAAUAAAAAAUCAAAUUUUGACAAUAAAAUUUUAUGUAAUUUAGCUUUUUCAUUUUUUACAUUCUAUUCAAAACUAAAUCUAUUUAGCAUCAGAUAAAUAUGUUGAAUUUGAUUUUCAGAUAUCGU
rnacentral:lncRNA from 1 species